rnacentral:lncRNA from 1 species
AGCGGCGGAGGAUUUUGUCGGGGGCACGGAUGGUUUCGUCGAGGAGGCGGAGGAGACAGCAUCCUUGCCGUUAGGUUUCUUGGAGAGAAGAUCGCCGGAAGCGGAGUUCUUGCUGUUGGAAUUCAUCGGUUGAGAGAGUAUUGCGCGUAAUAAAACUGGGGGAAUGAUCGGGGUUAUAAAAGAAAUAAGAUAGAAGGAUGCGAAACGAACCCAUUAAUGGAGGUUUAAGGCAGAUCUGAUGGAGGAUUGAUUGAACAGUCACGAACCGAUUGACGGAAGAAAUGGAAAGGACAGAAGGAAUCAGAUCGUUGUCUGCGCAAGAGAAAAGAAUCUAGAGAUCGUCGAGACGGCUAGAGGAAGGUCUUGUCUGUUUUGCGUAAGUAACGGGCUUACGGGCCAACUCUGUAUCAAACUAAACAUCGAGGCCCAAUCGGUUCCGACGU